GACGAAUGUUGGCGGAGGGAGGAACACAUGCAAGUCGAACGGAAAGGCCCUGCUUUUGUGGGGUGCUCGAGUGGCGAACGGGUGAGUAACACGUGAGUAACCUGCCCUUGACUUUGGGAUAACUUCAGGAAACUGGGGCUAAUACCGGAUAGGAGCUCCUGCUGCAUGGUGGGGGUUGGAAAGUUUCGGCGGUUGGGGAUGGACUCGCGGCUUAUCAGCUUGUUGGUGGGGUAGUGGCUUACCAAGGCUUUGACGGGUAGCCGGCCUGAGAGGGUGACCGGCCACAUUGGGACUGAGAUACGGCCCAGACUCCUACGGGAGGCAGCAGUGGGGAAUAUUGCACAAUGGGCGGAAGCCUGAUGCAGCAACGCCGCGUGCGGGAUGACGGCCUUCGGGUUGUAAACCGCUUUCGCCUGUGACGAAGCGUGAGUGACGGUAAUGGGUAAAGAAGCACCGGCUAACUACG
rnacentral:rRNA from 1 species